GCCGGGAAAGGGAGCAAACAAAUGAACCAUUUGACAUUUUUUUGGCAAACAAGCGAUACAAAGUGUUUGUGAGGAAGUCUGCCUCAAGCACAAAAGUUGGAAUCAAAUUUAUUCACCUUCAUUACAAAAAAAGACAUUCUAUAGGAAAUAAAUGGCUAUAAGCUUGUAAAAUCCUGUUUUCUUACAGUACUAUUUCCACAUGGGAGAUUCACGUUAUUUUGUGAAGUGUGCCAUCUUGAAAGGCAUGGUGCACCAAGAGAAGUAGAGAACAAUUGAAGUCGUCGAAAGGAUGAUAAAUUAAAAACAUGUUGAAGCAUGACUAAUCUCGAGUAAGGAAGAUAUGGGAGUGGGUUUAGAAAUUAGUCCAGAUUUGCAAUGACAGCAUCCGUGAUUUCUUGGGUGGUGCAGUCUCCACCAAGAUCUUUGGUCAUGUAUUUACCUUCGGCAAUAACACGCUUCACUGAAGUCUCUAGUCUAUCUGCAAAUGAAGGGAACUGCAGAUGUCUCAACAUCAUGGCUGAUGAAAGAAACAAGGCAAUUGGGUUUGCCUUCUUUUGCUCUAGUAUCUUUUCAUUUCCUACAUUUCCUGCUGAAGCACCUUGCUCAAACACGGCAUGGUCAGCCCCCACAUUGCCUCCUGGCAUAACACCUGUGCCUCCAGCAAUACCAGCUGCUGUAUUUGCUACCAGAUUUCCGUAGAGAUUAGGGGUGACCAUAACAUCAAAUUGCUCAGGCUUUGAUACAAGUUGCAUGCAACAGUUGUCCACAAUUAUCUCAUUGUACUUGAUCCCAGGGUAUUUGCUUGCGAUCUCUCGACAAGACUCCAAAAAUAAACCAUCAGCAAGUUUCAUAAUGUUUGCCUUGUGCACAGCAGUCACUACCUUCCGAUUGUUGAGGUAUGCAUAUUCAAAGGCAUAUUUAGCAAUUCUUUCUGAGCAAAACUUUGUCAUCACCUUGAGACUCUCUACAACACCGGGAACAACCUCAUGCUCCAAUCCGGAAUAUUCGCCCUCAGUAUUCUCCCUAAUAACAACAAUAUCAACAUUCUCAUGACGCGUAGGAAGGCCUUUCAAGUUGAAGCAGUGAACAAGGGAAGCAUAUAGAUCAAGCUCUUUCCUAAGCUGAACAUUAAGAGAACUAACACCACCACCCACAGGCGUCUUCAACCCUCCUUUUAAACAGACCUUAUUCUUCCGGAUCGAAUCCAUCACAUCCGGAGGCAUAUUCUUCAUGUCUCCAUGAACAUCAUAACGCUCAAAGUACACAGGAGCGUGCAUCGCCUCCAUGACUUGUUCAACAGCACCGGUUACUAGAGGUCCGAUCCCGUCACCGGGGAUGAGUGUGACGGCGCGUGGAGUGCCAUCACCGGGUCGGGGCAUGUAGGUAACGGAUCGAACGGAUGUUAAGGCAUGAGAUGGAGAUGGAGAGGGAGAUGAGGAGGUGAGGAAGUGCUUGAGGAUGGGUAGGGUUCGCUUAGCCAUUGAUCGGAAAUGGUAGAGGAAGUUUGACUAUUGGGGCAUGGAAAUUAGGGUGAGAGGGAAGGGAAGGGAAGGGAAGAGACAGGUGAUGAAAGGGGAAAAGGGAAGGAAAGGAAGAGGAAAAAGGAGAUGCCGGAAGACUCACCACUGACGGCCCACGAGAGAAAAGGGAGGGGCAAUAUGUCAACUAGUA
rnacentral:misc_RNA from 1 species